GGUUAGCAGCUUUGUUGUCCAUGGUAAAACUUGGGGUGAGCAAGUUAUUUAAAUGUUGAAUCCUUCACUCAAGCGCAGAUACUUUUUCUAUUGUUUUGCAGGAGGUCAUUUUCCCAUAUCUCUAUCAGCUUGCUUAGUAAUAUCCUGCAUUUGCUAAUGGCGGAACGUUAAAGAACGCGACACGUUUUGUGGAAAUCUUGUAGAAUUCAACCAAUCCGAUGACGACUUCGACACUUCUGAAGUGUUUCCACUUUUGUGUCCUAUAUGCAUCAGACCUGCAGCCAACGGUCCGUGGGUGUGACGGCUGAGGCUGAGACUAGUGGCCCUCCAGCAGCAUGAUUAGAGACCAUUCAUUGGUGGCUUUGAUGCUUGAAAGUCAGACCAAAACCUAUCUUCAAAGACCAAGGAAGCCAGAGUUUAAGGUCAUCUGUGACCUGAAGAAGUGAAAAUGCAUGUGCCCUGUUUAUCAUCUUACCUCUUGUUUGUUGUAAGCGUCUGCAUUGGGUGCGAAGACUGUGAAGGGACCACGACUUCCAAGUUCAGGGUGCCUUUGCAAAUUUCUCCAUUUCCAAUAAAACCAGGCCCACAAGUGCAGUUCCUUUCCAGGGGUCCUGUCAUGGUACAUUGGGCAUACCUGUGACAUCCUCCGUUUUUCUGACAGAAAAUAAGUAAUAGUAGUACCAUGCUAUUCAUGUUAAUCUUUGAGCU